rnacentral:lncRNA from 1 species
AAGUUAACUUGAAAAUUACUCUUUACUAGUGAAGGGCCCGUGCAUUGCACCGGAACGAUUCUGUAAAAAUAAAUAAUAAAAAAAGAGUCAAAAAGUUAUAUAAAAAAAAAUUAAAGAAUAAGCAACUAUUGCUGCAAUAAAAAUAUAAAAAUAAAUUAUAAGAAGGAUAAAAAAAAUAAAAGCAAAAACCAUACGAAUAAUAAAUUAUAUUUAUAGCAGCAAUUAACGCUGAGGACUAAAAUAAUAUUCCUCAUAUUUCAAAUAAAAAAUUACAACUAAUUAAAAUUUGAGGAUAAAAGUGUCACAUGCCUCAUAGUGUUGCUCGUCUUAUAGUUUUAAGGACGAAAAGUAUAAACCCAAUCUUUCAAAAUUUUAUUUUUACUAUCCAAGUUUUCUAUAUAUAAGAUUUGAGUAAAAUUUUGUUUUUACUCUCCAACUUUUCUAUAUAUUAGAUUUGAGUCAGUCAAUGAUACUUUCACUUUAAAAAUCUGAAUGUAUCGCUUAUCUCUACAGAUUUAAUUAGUAUAUUUUAUGCGAUUCUCGCAACCAAAUUUUGUAAAAUAUAAAAUUAAUCUAAACUCUAUCAAUUUUUUCUUUAUUUUUUACUGUACAAUUUAUAUCUAAAUGCUCAAUAUUAUAAAAUAAAAAUUUAUAUUUAAUACAAAUAGUCUAAACUAUUUAAAAAUUAUUUAUAUAUUUUUUAAUUUUUAUAAUAAUAAAUAAAAAAAUUAAAUUGGACUUAAAAAAAUUAUAAAUCUUCAUCUCUAUAUACGAAGAGAGAAAAAAUUGAAGAGAGGAAAAAAAAAAGCGCCCCCUCCCCUCUCCUCCGACUGGGCCCCACCCCACACCGGGCCCACUCUACGCGCUAGCACCCAUGCGCGCCCACUCGCGCCCUG